UACAGAGGGUGCGAGCGUUGUCCGGAAUCACUGGGCGUAAAGGGUGCGUAGGCGGGUCUUUAAGUCAGGGGUGAAAUCCUGGAGCUCAACUCCAGAACUGCCUUUGAUACUGAGGAUCUUGAGUUCGGGAGAGGUGAGUGGAACUGCGAGUGUAGAGGUGAAAUUCGUAGAUAUUCGCAAGAACACUAGUGGCGAAGGCGGCUCACUGGCCCGAUACUGACGCUGAGGCACGAAAGCGUGGGGGAGCAAACAGG
rnacentral:rRNA from 1 species